CUCACAAAGAUGGGAGGAAAUGGAGUCUACAAACCAGACGCAAGGACUUCGGGAUACCACUUGUAUCGGACCGUCCACAGGACUUGAUGUCUAUGAUGCCUCUGAAAGCAACUCACGGCAUUUGUUCACUGCGUUUAGGGUCUAUUUAGGCCGUCUCCCAAACUCUGCAAACUCUGCUGUGGAGGAGGCUUCUGGCUUUCCAAGAGGCGAGCCUCUGGGGACCUUUGCUUCUGCUUCCUAUCUGGCUGAAGGAAGACUGGGAUUACAGGUACACUCCACCACGUCUAGUUUCAUGUGGUGUCUGGUGAUCCUAACUCAGGUCCCCACACUGUGUGACAAGAGCUUUACUGAGUCAACUCCCUAGCUGAAUUCUGAACUUUCUUUCAAAACAUUUUUUUUCCUAUUUCCUGUUAUGUGUAUGGGUGUCUUGCCAUCAUGUAUGUCUCUGUAGCAUGUGUGUACGGUGCCCUCAGAAGCCAGAAAAGGGCAUUAGAUUCUGAGGAAAUGGAGUUACAGAUAGAUGGUUGUAGAGGCCUGAAGUUGACAUCGGAUGUCUCUCUCUAUGGUUCUCCACCUUAUUUUCUGAGACGAGUCUCUCACAGAAUCUGGGGCUUAUGGAUUCAGCUUGAUAGAUUGGCCAAUGAGCUCUCAAAAUCUGCCCAUCUCCAAGCCAACCACCAGCUUUGCCCGGCCCUAGAGUUACUGACGUACACUACUUUACCACAUUAGGGUUUUUACGUGGGUGCUGGGUUCUGAACUCAGGUCCUCACGCUUGGGCACAGGUACCUUGCCAACUGAGCCCCAGCCCCAACUUUUUCCACGCUUGUUUUGUAAGUCAAAUUCCAGUCCUCCGAACUUUGUUCUCUUACCUUCAAUAUUGUUGGCCCCUUUGGGUCUUUGGAAUGAAAACUUCAUAUAAAUUUUAGGAUCUGUUUGUUGAUGCUCACCUGUUAGAGUUGGCUAAGACUUUGUUUUCAAGAAUACAGCUUUCCAUUGCCUUUACUCUGUUGCUGGUUUUAUUCUUUGAGCUCCUCUACUUUCUUUCACUGAAACUCGAGUUGAUUUCUUCUUGUUUCCCUGAUUUGCCCACUGAUAUGGAAACAUCUGAUCUCUUCCUCCUCGGUAACUACCGAGAACUUCCUCUGUUGUUUUCUGAUUCAUUGUGACUGGCCUGCCAUCUUUCCCAGCAUCCGGUUGCUCUGUUUUCUUGAGUAGAUACCCCCUCCUCUCUGGUUAUCACUUUCAAGCCCUCCUGAUUAGAUCAGUGAACUUAAAGUCAGAUAGAUUGAUUCUCUCUUCUCGCGAGGGAGGAAGCAGUUCAUAACAGAAUCAGGCUGCCACUUAGCGCUUCUACCUGGUGGCACUGGGAGUAGUCUCUCGGAGCUCCAGAGUGAAUUACAGAGCCGGUGAUUCACUCUGAAAUCUAGCAAUCAUCCUGAAGAGGGGAUAUUUCAGUCCCUGCUGGUGCAAAGCUAUGGCGUGCGGUCCCACGUCAUACACACACUGCGCACAGGCCAGAUGCCUUUCCAACCAACCUGGGGAACAGAAACGGAAAACAGCAUUGAGAGACUAUUCUUCACGUCUGUGUAAUUAAGCGUACAUUCUGAUGGGGAGUGAGCCGAUCCCAUCAGAGGAACCACCCGGAGACCCUUGAAGCAGCCGACUAGAGAGGGGACUUUUUCGGCCUUCACAGUAACUUACUGUUUUCUGGAUAUGAUGAUGACAAAACCCUGGACAGGGAAUACUUUGAGAGGGUGCUUGGAUAAGCUCAUGAAGGAACAUGGAUCCCUGGAAUGACAGGAAGAAUGAAGGAGCAAGUGCCACAGACAUCGAGUUUUCCUGCUGCCAACUUCUGACUGACGUGUGCAGAAGAAGGGAAACGAAGGAGACUAAACGCAAGUUGGGAUAUUUCGUAUUUCCUCAUUAAAUGUCUUGUUGGAAAGGGCAAGAAUGGCAAGGAAUGCCAGGGUGUUGUCUAUUGCUACUUAGCCUGAAGUUCUUUGCUCAUCUGAUGACCUCAAGUCUUGUGCGCUGUGGGGUGAGUCUGUGACGUGCAUACACGAUAUUAAUUUGCUGUUACUAAAGGCCACUUAGGAGUGCAACAACAAUAACUGAUGUGGUUUUAAUUAAAAAUAAAUCCACCCAUCUUGUCCUAUUUUUAUCAUCUGCUCAAAGAGUCUUUUGAUGAUGUUCAUGUGGGCUUGUGAAUUAAUUAGGGGCAGCACCCAGGAAGACCCUUGGCCAUUUGUGAAAAUGAACCUUCUAUGUAUGAAUAUAGCCAUGCCUGCAGAAGCAACCGUUUUUCUAAACACCUGAUUUCUACUUUAAGACCAAUGGAUAU